rnacentral:rRNA from 1 species
UACGUAGGGUGCAAGCGUUUGUCCGGAAUUAUUGGGCGUAAAGAGCUCGUAGGUGGCGGGUCACGUCGGGUGUGAAAGCCCGGGGCUUAACCCCGGGUCUGCAUUCGAUACGGGCCUGCUAGGGUCCGGCAGGGGAGACUGGAAUUCCUGGUGUAGCGGUGAAAUGCGCAGAGUAUCAGGAGGAACACCGGUGGCGAAGGCGGGGUCUCUGGGCCGGUACCGACGCUGGAGGAGCGAAAGCGUGGGGAGCGAACAGG